rnacentral:rRNA from 1 species
AGGGAAUCUUCCACAAUGGUCGAAAGUCUGAUGGAGCAACGCCGCGUGCGUGAUGAAGGAUUUCGUAUCGUAAAACUGCGUUCUAAGGGAAGAACCAGUACGUCAGGCAAUGGACGUACCUUGACGGUACAUUGUUAGAAAGCGACGGAGACCUACGUGCCAGCAGCCGCGGUAAUACGUAGGUGGCAAGCGUUGUCCGGAAUUAUUGGGCGUAAAGCGCGCGCAGGUGGUUUCUUAAGUCUGAUGUGAAAGCCCACGGCUUAACCGUGGAGGCUCAUUGGAAACUGGGAGACUUGAGUGCAGAAGAGGAAAGUGGAAUUCCAAGUGUAGCGGUGAAAUGCGUAGAGAUUUGGAGGAACACCAGUGGCGAAGGCGACUUUCUGGUCUGCAACUGACGCUGAGGCGCGAAAGCAUGGGGAGCAAACA